GACGAACGCUGGCGGCGUGCCUAAUACAUGCAAGUUGAGCGCUGAAGGUUGGUACUUGUACCAACUGGAUGAGCAGCGAACGGGUGAGUAACGCGUGGGGAAUCUGCUUUUGAGCGGGGGACAACAUUUGGAAACGAAUGCUAAUACCGCAUAAAAACUUUAAACACAAGUUUUAAGUUUGAAAGAUGCAAUUGCAUCACUCAAAGAUGAUCCCGCGUUGUAUUAGCUAGUUGGUGAGGUAAAGGCUCACCAAGGCGAUGAUACAUAGCCGACCUGAGAGGGUGAUCGGCCACAUUGGGACUGAGACACGGCCCAAACUCCUACGGGAGGCAGCAGUAGGGAAUCUUCGGCAAUGGACGAAAGUCUGACCGAGCAACGCCGCGUGAGUGAAGAAGGUUUUCGGAUCGUAAAACUCUGUUGGUAGAGAAGAACGUUGGUGAGAGUGGAAAGCUCAUCAAGUGACGGUAACUACCCAGAAAGGGACGGCUAACUACGUG
rnacentral:rRNA from 1 species